rnacentral:lncRNA from 1 species
AAUAACAUGUUUAUGUUCAUUUCAAUAUCUCACUUCACCCUGGCCCGAAACAACCAUCAUGCACCACACUGGAGGUCGCCUCUGGCGGCGGCGGAGAGCUAAUCCAGAAAUCUCAACACCAUUACACUCGUCUCAUCAUGCUUUAUCCUAAUCCAUUAACAAUUUCAUUCAAAUCGAUACCUAAAGCUUAUACUGAAUCGAAAUCAUGCAAGAACCCUAGGUACUAAAAAGAUAAAUUAAAUGAUCAUCUUACGGAAUCAAAGCCCUAAGAGGUUGGGGCUUUGAUUUCCUACACCUCGGUUCAUUUCCUAGUAAGAAUUUUGAAGCAAGAAGGUGAAAUUGAGCUUACUCUUACAAAGACAAUGAAUAUGACAACAUAAUUCCGAUAAGGUUAGUAUGCAGACUGUUAAUUCAGUUGCAGUUGGAUGAAUUAUGUGGAAGUAAUGCAUGUCUGAUGUUAGCUUUAUUAGAUGAGUUUUGGAUUAUGUUAGUGCAUAAUUUCGGUUAGCUAUUAGGUUUGGAAAGUUUGUCAUGAAUGUAUUGCGUUGCUUGUUAAUUGUUGUUAUAUGAUGAUAUAUUGUGAACUAUUAUGCUAAUUUGCAUUGAUGUCAUGAAGAAUUGGUGAUGAUGAAUGUGAUAUGCAGCUUGUUAUGAGAGCUUUUUGUGUUAGGUCUGCUAGUGGAUGCUUAAUGAAUGUGUGACUGUUGUAUGCUAAUUGAAUUGGAUGCAUGACUGCUAUGAUAUAUUGUUGUUAUGCUUUUGCCAUGUUAAUGUAUGAUAGGGCUGCUUGCUAAUGAAUGCUU